GAACGGGGAUAAGGAUGCUUGCAUCAUUAUCCUAGUGGCGGACGGGUGAGUAACACGUGAGCAACCUGCCUCUCAGAGGGGGGAUAACGUUUGGAAACGAACGCUAAUACCGCAUGAAAUAUUGGCAUCGCAUGGUGCUGAUAUCAAAGGAGCAAUCCGCUGAGAGAUGGGCUCGCGUCCGAUUAGAUAGUUGGCGGGGCAACGGCCCACCAAGUCGACGAUCGGUAGCCGGACUGAGAGGUUGAACGGCCACAUUGGGACUGAGACACGGCCCAGACUCCUACGGGAGGCAGCAGUGGGGGAUAUUGCACAAUGGGGGAAACCCUGAUGCAGCGAUGCCGCGUGAGUGAAGACGGCCUUCGGGUUGUAAAGCUCUGUCGCAGGGGACGAAAAUGACGGUACCCUGCAAGAAAGCUCCGGCUAACUACGUGCCAGCAGCCGCGGUAAUACGUAGGGAGCAAGCGUUGUCCGGAAUUACUGGGUGUAAAGGGAGCGUAGGC
rnacentral:rRNA from 1 species